UACGUAGGCAGCAAGCGUUGUUCGGAGUUACUGGGCGUAAAGAGUAUGUAGGCGGUUGGGUAAGUUUGGUGUGAAAUCUCCCGGCUUAACUGGGAGGGUGCGCUAAAGACUGCCUGGCUCGAGUGUGGGAGAGGAAAGCGGAAUUCCUGGUGUAGCGGUGAAAUGCGUAGAUAUCAGGAGGAACACCUGCGGUGUAGACGGCUUUCUGGACCAUAACUGACGCUGAGACACGAAAAGCGUGGGGGAGCGAACAGG
rnacentral:rRNA from 1 species